GUACUUGCUUCGGCAGCACAUAUACUAAAAUUGGAAUGAUACAGAGAAGAUUAGCAUGGCCUCUGUGCAAGGAUAACAUGCAAAUUCAUGAAGCAUUCCACAUUUUU
ensembl:snRNA U6 U6 spliceosomal RNA